UUAAAAAAAGAAAAGAAAAUGUAUCCAAUAUAGUAUAUCAUAAUCACAGUAUUGGGAACUUUCCCGACUCUGGUGGGAAGGAGGAGGAAGUCGUGGGCUCACUGGGGCACAGGAAAAAAUACCAGAGAAGUCCACUCCUAAUUUUAUUUCUCUCCUCUUCUGCGUUUCUGCUGUAAUGGAUUGAAAAUACACAGGAAAUGUAAUGCAAAACUUGGCUUUGAUUUUUUUUCCCCCCACCUAACCCUGUAAAGGUUUGGAAAGACUUGAUUACAUGGCAGGGAAAGUAAAAAUGCGGAUGAAAUUCCCUGACGCUCAGGCCACAUGACCAGGUGAUAAGGCCUUCUGAGACUACCAGCAGCUGCUGCUGGCUCAGGUGCGGCCUGUGUGGGAGGACUCGUGUCUCGGUGGUUACAGAGAAGCUGCUUUCCACUGUGUGAACCCGGACUGAAUCACAGGCCGCUUGUUGUUCUCCCUCGGCCUUGGAGGGCUUGGGACGUUCCUGUUGCCCAACACCCUGAAUAACAGAGCACGCCAGUGAUCAUAAGAAGAAAAAUUCACACUUAAAGUUUGGAAAGCAACAGGACAAAGGUCUGUCUUCAGUGUUCAUAGGUUUCAGAAUAACACAACUACAGUGCAAGUGGAACUUGAGAAUGAAUGAACAUCCGGGAUUGAGGAUGGAUGCAGUCAGUAACUAUUGUCACCCACUGGUGAGGGAGGAGUAUCCUAUGAAGAUGGUCUCAAAGCACUUUGAGAUGAACAGAAUGUUCUAUAAAUGGGAAUUGAAAAUAAUCAAGACAUUCAUGGAUCCAAACAGGCCACAGAAAUACCAUAGCAACAAAUGAACAAUAAUUGCUGCAUUAUGGCUCUUUCCCCAGCUGCACUCAUGCAAUCAAAGCUCUGCUGCGUCUUCAGAAGGAGCCCAGGUCAGGUCUGGCUGCCAUCACCCAUGAGGAAGACGUGCGGAGCCAGACAGAUGCCUGGAGGAAAGGUGGGUGUGUGCUGUCCUGCCCCAUCCUCUCUGUUUCCCUCCCACGUGUUGCAGAGACGUCCUCAGCGUGGAACCAGGGCCCUUGACAGAGACAUUGUCAUUCCGGACACCCCACACCCAAGCCAGUUCAUCCAAGUCACCCGAUAAUGAUGUGCUCUGAAGAAACUACCUGUUGCAGCAAACUCCUUACCUUACUGGACGUGUCGCGAUAGCCAGCGCAGGAUGAGGCCGUGGGAGGAUCUUAAUGACACAGUCCACCCUGCAAACCAAGGUCAACAAGGCGGCAGGUAUGGCCACGGCCCCUCACCGUGGACUCUGUACGAGCCAAUACACGGUGUGCUGUUCCCCAGUUAUUUCUGAAUACAGCCACAGGGAGAUGUGAACCAGCCCCACUUCCCUAGGGCACACAGAGGCUAGAAAGGAUCCACAGGACCUGUUCAACUUGCCAAUGAUCCCAAACUCCUGAUCCAGGCAGAUCACUAAGACAGAGAAAUACUCCCUUUCUAGGAAUGCCUUCUGGCCUCACCCUGCUCAAUGAUGUGUCCACUAGCUCGACACACCCCGGUUAGUGGGGGCAUCUUCUCCAGCGGUGGGGGGGACUGCAGCGGGGGCAGCUGCGGAGAUGGCAGAAUCUUUCCUGCGGGAUUCUGGAAUGUCGUAUCCCCUCUGGAAGAGACACAAGGAGUGAGGGCGACACUGGGAAGGGUGUGGGAGGGAGAGCCUUCCUUACUGCCUGGCGUCCCUCAGGGGCCAGUGACCAACCUUAUUAGCCACCUCUGUGCAUUCAACCGCUUCCUCUCUCCUGAGGCAGCCAGAGCCUGAAUAUCUCAGCAAGGCAUUAAGAAAGGCUUUAAUAAUUGAUUUAAUUAAAGUCUAAAAAUUAUAGAACCAGC